AACAAGCUUUAGAAUAAUGCUGAGCAAUCUUUUCAGCAUUUUCUCAAGGAACAUGUCCAGUGAUGACUCAGCUACUUUGGCCAUUGUGUUUGGAGGUGAUUGAACUUUCUUUUUGAAAUAAGGGACAAUAACAAAAAUAAAGCAAAGGUAUCAGAACAGUCUGUGAUUAGGGCCUCAAGAUCCACAUCCUGAGGGCCACUUGCUUCUCCCAGAUCUGUGGGUUGCCAUGGAAGCGAGACCUGCAGUGCAAUCAAGCCAACAGGUGCGCAAGAGAAAUGUGGAGGAAGCCUGACCCAAGAGCAAAGCAGUGGAGACGAUUUAGCAGUUUAUGAGACCUCACUAAGGAACUACAAAAUAACAAGGCAUGAGGGGCCGCAAAACAAGCGAGAAUGGAUACUAAACACAGCAGACAACAAGGUUUUCCAGGGCGUCUUGAUACCUCAGUACACCAAAUACUGCCUUGAUCUCACUCACCUCUGAAAUUCAAUUCUUCGGUCCAUGUUUGGCAAGGAUGCGAUGAGGUCUGGGACUGAGAGGUCCUCACAAAUCCCAAACUGAACAUCAGUGAUGGAGUUAUUAUAGGACAAUAAUAUCUCCAUUGAUAUUCAUGGAAUGAAGAUGCUGAACCAUGUCUAACUGAGAAAACAUUCCUAAAAUAAACAUUAGUAAAUCCAGCAAGAUUAGCUCUAGUGUCAGAGUCCAACUUGACAGAUUCGGUACCUAAUAUGGUCAAGUGUAUCUGGGACUUCAAUGAACUUGGUGGCAUUUAAGCAGUUUAACACUGGUAGUUGCAUUUUUUUAGAAACCAUAAAUACCCAUUCCAAUAUGUUUUUAAAUAGUCUUGAUUGAAAAGAUGAAAUAUUACUCCCACUUUUUCAUUAAAUUAUGUUUUGGGGUCUUUAACAAAAACCUAAAUGUGCAGCAAAAUCUAAAUGAUUCAAUCCUCCCUCAAGGCUAUGUUGGUGCCUGGCAUGAAUUAUAUUUCAAACUUUAAUGUGUCCCAAGCUAAAGACUGUAAAGAGAAUGUCUAUCAUUCUUUCCAGUGCCUGUGGUUUCACAGGAAUCUCUCCCAGCCUCCUGUGAAAGUUUUGAAAAGUCUACAGCCACCUGCCAGAUGGUGAUCCUCUGAUCUGCUGCCCGCAGCUUGUUGAGUUUUGGUGCAUCCUUUCUCAGCUGAUGGACAUGGACGCCCCUUUGCUUUGGUCGAAUGACUCAGACUUCCCCUUGAACAAAAGGUCUCAGUUUUGUCUUGACAUACAAUCAGUGAUUCUAACCAGUGAGUCUACUACAGGACAGGUUCCAGGGCACCCUGUUGUUAAGCAAGGCUGUGUUAAUUUCUCAUUCAUUUACACUGCAGCAUCACAGUUCGUCACUGUGUGCAGUGAUGAAAGAUCGUCACUGGAGAGGAAUCGAUGUUGUUUCCAUUCCCGAAUCAAAAGCACUCUAACAUCAGUCUCUUGCUGCAGAGUAAAUUUGGAGGCUGAGCUUCAAGUCAUCAUCGAGGCAGCAUAACCCACUAACCAUAAUGGUCAUGUUCUUACAUGGCCUACUUUCCAUAUUUUGAGAGCCACAUCACAGGCAAAAGCAAAUAUUAAUGACACAGUAGUGUAGCGAUUAGCAUAUGCUUUACAGGACCAGUGAUCGGGGUUCAAUUCCUGCCACUGCCAAUAAGGAGUUUGUAUGUUCUCCCAUGACUGCUUGGGAUUCCUCCCACAGUCCAAGGAUCCUUAGAGUAUUACUCCUCCACAGUUCGAAGACGUACCAGCUGGUUGGUUACUUGCUCAUUGUAAAUUACCUUGUGGUUAGGCCUGGAUUAAAUUGGGGGAUUACUGGACGGCAUGGCAAGAAGGGUUAAAAGGGCCUAUUUCACGCUGUAUCUCAAUAAAUAAAUAAAUUUACAAUAAAAUUCAAAUUCACUUCAAGUACGCCAGCAUGACCUUAUGUAACUGAAGAGAAAGGUGUUUCUACGCCUCCAACCCAGCAAAAAACCUUAUGGUCUAUCAGGCAUCAGUGAUCCCUACCUUCCAGUACAUAUCAGUGAUAUGGACUACCUACCUUAAAACACUGGAGAGAUACUAUUCAGAAUCAGGUUUAUUAUCAUCGGUAUGUGACGUGAAAUUUGUUAACUUGGCAGCGGCAGUGCAAUGCAAUACAUAAUUUAGCAGAGAGAGAUAAAAAUAGAUAAAAUAAAAAUAAUAAUAAUAAAUACACAAGUAAACCAAUUAUGUAUAUUGAUUAGAUUUUUUUAAAACGUGCAAGAACAGAAAUACUGUAUUUUCAAAAAAGUGAGGUAGUGUUCAAAGAUACAAAGUCCAUUUAGGAAUCAGAUGGCAGAGGGGAAGAAGCCAUUCCUGAGUCGCUGAGUGUGUGUCUUCAGGCUUCUGUACCUCCUGCCUGAUGGUAACAGUGAGAAAAGUGCAUGCCCUGGGUGUUGGGGUCCUUAAUAAUGGACUCUGCCUUUCUGAGACACCGCUCCCUAAAGCUGUCCAGGGUACUUUGUAGGCUAGUGCCCAAGAUGGAGCUAACUAGAUUUAUAAUCUUCUGCAGCUUCUUUUGGUCCUGUGCAGUAGCCCCUCCAUACCAGACAGUCAGAAUGCUCUCCAUGGUACAACUAUAGAAGCUUUUGAGUGUAUUUGCUGACAUGCCAAAUCUCUUCAAACUCCUAAUAUAGCCGUUGUCUUGCCUUCCUUAUAACUACAUCGAUAUAUUGGGACCAGGUUAGAUCCUCAGAGAUCUUGACAUCCAGGAACUUGAAGCUUCUCACUCUCUCCACUUCUGAUCCCUUUAUGAGGAUUGGUAUGUGUUCCUUAGUCUUUCCCUUCCUGAAGUUCACCAUCAGCUCUUUCGUCUUACUGACAUUGAGUGCCAGGUUGUUGCUGUGACACCACUCCACUAGUUGGCAUAUCUCACUCCUGUACGCCCUCUCAACUCUGAGAUUCUACCAACAAUGGUUGCAUUAUCAACAAAUUUAUAGGUGGUAUCUGAGCUAUGCCUAGCCACACAGUCAUGUGUAUGUCGAGACUAGAGCAGUGGGUUAAGCAUACACCCCUGAGAUGAUGUGCCAGUGUUGAUCAUCAGUAAGAAGGAUAUGUUAUCACCAAUCUGCACAGGCAGUAUAAAUUCUUCCAAAUCUAUUGGCAGGAUAAGCAAAUGGCAUUCCUUCCCUGGUCUACAUCUCCAGAAUUAAGCCCUUAAUUACACUAUGCAUUGUGUGUCCUUUCAUUCACAUGCCCAAAACCACCCAAAACCCAUAGAACUGGACUGGGUCUUCUUUAUCUCAAAUAUGGUAAGAAUCUAGAUUGCCCUUUCUGAGAGUGCAGUUGAAGCUGGGUUGCUGGCAGCAAUUGGGGAUGGGGGGUGGGGGUUGGAUGAGCAGUUGAACUGAUCAAGAUAGAAAGUUUGCCAGGUGGAUUAAUACCAAAGGGUGCUCACUAGGCCGAAUGGCCUGUUGCCAUGCACUGCGUUUUUACGACUUUUUGAUCCUCAUCAACCGCAGAAAAUCCCUCAUCCAUGACUGCUGAAAAUGCAAAACAACAUUCAGAAUGGAGCUGGGAACUUUGAGAGCCUUCACGUAGAGACCAUGAAACUGGCAAAAGGAGCCAACUGCCUCCUACAUAGCAACUUGCCCCUCCUGUCAAGCACCUGCUGACCACCCAUGGAUUCCACUUUGAGCUCUCUGAGAACCCACAGAACUGGAGCAGAAGCAAAUAAUUCUCAACCUUGAGUGAUUGGCCAAGACAAGGAGAAAGGAAAAUGGAUGUGUGGGAUUUUGGACAUUUUUCACCUGAUUAAAUGUAUUCCUAGUGACUUGCUUGCAACCAUUGAUUUAUCACAUUGCAUGUUGACAAGCUGGAAUGUUAACUACUGCUAUCAACAAAUACCGGAAAUAAUUUUUCAACUGCUAAAAUUUUUGGAUUAAUUUUCUUCAAUUGUUAUUCAUUGCAAUUUUAAAGUAAUCUGACAUGAAUGAUUUAAACAAAUAACAGU